rnacentral:rRNA from 1 species
CUCAUAGCGUAUAUUUAAGUUGUUGCAGUUAAAAAGCUCGUAGUCGGAUUUUGGCUGAGAACGGUCGGUCCGCCGUUAGGUGUGCACUGACUGGUCUCAGCUUCCUGGUGAGGAGGUGUGCUUCAUCGCCACUUAGUCACCGUGGUUACUUUGAAAAAAUUAGAGUGUUCAAAGCGGGCUUACGCUUGAAUAUAUUAGCAUGGAAUAACACCAUAGGACUCCUGUCCUAUUUCGUUGGUCUCGGGACGGGAGUAAUGAUUAAGAGGAACAGUUGGGGGCAUUCGUAUUUCAUUGUCAGAGGUGAAAUUCUUGGAUUUAUGAAAGACGAACUUCUGCGAAAGCAUUUGCCAAGGAUGUUUUCAUUGAUCAAGAACGAAAGUUGGGGGCUCGAAGAUGAUUAGAUACCAUCCUAGUCUCAACCAUAAACGAUGCCGACUAGGGAUUGGCGGAUGUUAAUUGAUGACUUCGCCAGCACCUUAUGAGAAAUCAAAGUUUUUGGGUUCCGGGGGGAGUAUGGUCGCAAGGCUGAAACUUAAAGGAAUUGACGGAAGGGCACCACCAGGCGUGGAGCCUGCGGCUUAAUUUGACUCAACACGGGGAAACUUACCAGGUCCAGACAUAGUAAGGAUUGACAGAUUGAGAGCUCUUUCUUGAUUCUAUGGG